rnacentral:sRNA from 1 species
AUCAGCUCUUAAGAAAAGAGCUAUUUAUUUACUUUAAGAUCAAAUUUCUCUCGGUUCUACAUCGAUUUUUUCGUUUGCGUACCUACGAUAAAAUAUAUAUCUCUAAAAUAGAUAAUAGCGCUUAUUAGCUAACAACACUUAAAUUAAAAUUAUCAAAUAUAGAGGUAUCUAUGUCUAAUAAAACAACUGGUUCAGUCAAAUGGUUCAACGAAACGAAAGGCUUUGGUUUUAUUUCUCCGGAUAACGGUGGUGAUGACGUAUUCGUUCAUUUCCAAUCAAUCGUUUCGACUGGUUUCAAAACACUGAACGAAGGCCAAAAAGUAUCGUUCGUUGUUGAACAAGGUCAAAAAGGAUUACAAGCAGCACAAGUUACUGUUAUGUAAUACUUUUAUGUGGCAUCAACAUCUGUUGGUGCCAUUCAA